CGACUACAGUCAGAGUUUGAUCCUGGCUCAGGACGAACGCUGGCGGCGUGCUUCAUACAUGCAAGUCGAACGAGAAUUUACCUUCGGGUGAAGGAAAGUGGCGGACGGGUGAGUAAUGUGUAGAGAAUCUACCCUAGAGAGGGGGACAACAGCUGGAAACGGUUGCUAAUACCCAUAUGAGGUAUAUUGAAAUAUAUAUCUUGAAAACUCCGGUGCUCUGGGAUGAGUCUGCAUCUGAUUUAGCUAGUUGGGGGUGUAAUGGACCACCAAGGCGACGAUCAGUAGCUGGUUUGAGAGGAUGAUCAGCCACAAUGGGACUGAGACACGGCCCAU
rnacentral:rRNA from 1 species